UCCCUAGUGGCUCAGACGGUAAAGCAUCUGUCUGUAAUGCAGGAGACCCAGGUUCGAUCCCUGGGUUGGGAA
rnacentral:tRNA from 1 species